CGCGGCGUGGCUGAAGUGGCCUCGGAGCGCGGCGGGCGCGGCUGAGAAUCCUGAAGGGGACGACUUCUUUCUCUCACUACCGCCACCAGGACACCACCAGGACUCCGGCCACAUCUCCUCCCUCCAGGAUGGCUGCAGUGUCUCCCGCUACUACGCUGGCCGGCACAGCGGCCAGGUUCUCAGAUCCACUGAACCUAAAUAAAAGAACCUAACUAUAUUUUAAAAAAAAGAAGAAGAAGAAGAUGGCCCAAGUCCUUGGGCCCCUGCACCCACGUGGGAGACCCGGAGGAAGCCCUGGCUCCUGGCUUCAGAUCAGUGCAGCCCUGGCCAUUGCAGCCACUUGGGGGAGUGAACCAGUGGAUGGAAGAAUGGAAGACUUCUCUCUCUUCUUCUCUCCCUCCCUCUUUCUCUCUCUCUCUCUCUCUGCCUCUCCUUCUCUCUCUGUGUAAC